CAGAAACAGCAGGCAGCUCAAGAAAGGUGCUGUUUUCUGCUCUUGCAGCACCAGGUAUGCCAAACCACACAUUUGGCUGCAGCUGGAGGCAAGGCACUACCCAUUUUCAUCUGUGAACUACCUGCACAAUGUUGCUGUGAUAAGUCCAAUGUAGGUUUAAUAUGCAUUAGAAUUACUUCCAGCAGAGACUGAACUCACUGUCUUUAUGCACAGAGGAAGAAAUUCCUGGCAGUAUACAUGGAGGAGGAUGGACAGCAGUGAAGACAUGCAGCGCACUCACUGCUGUCAGUGGUUAUUUAGCACCUAGCAAGUACC
rnacentral:lncRNA from 1 species